rnacentral:rRNA from 1 species
UACGGAGGGGGCUAGCGUUAUUCGGAAUUACUGGGCGUAAAGCGCACGUAGGCGGAUUAACAAGUCAGAGGUGAAAUCCCAGGGCUCAACCUUGGAACUGCCUUUGAAACUGUUUCUCUUGAGGUCGUGAGAGGUGAGUGGAAUUCCGAGUGUAGAGGUGAAAUUCGUAGAUAUUCGGAGGAACACCAGUGGCGAAGGCGGCUCACUGGCACGAUACUGACGCUGAGGUGCGAAAGCGUGGGGAGCAAACAGG